rnacentral:tRNA from 1 species
GGCAGCGUGGCCGAGUGGUCAGGGCGUCGGACUUGUAAUCCGGAGGUCCCGGGUUCAAGUCCUCUAUCCCGUCAUUCGCUG